rnacentral:rRNA from 1 species
AACGAACGCUGGCGGCAGGCCUAACACAUGCAAGUCGAGCGAGGACUUCGGUUCUAGCGGCGGACGGGUGAGUAACGCGUGGGAAUGUGCCCUUCUCUACGGAAUAGCCCUGGGAAACUGGGAGUAAUACCGUAUACGCCCUACUGGGGAAAGAUUUAUCGGAGAAGGAUCAGCCCGCGUUGGAUUAGGUAGUUGGUGGGGUAAUGGCCUACCAAGCCGACGAUCCAUAGCUGGUUUGAGAGGAUGAUCAGCCACACUGGGACUGAGACACGGCCCAGACUCCUACGGGAUGCAGCAGUGGGGAAUCUUAGACAAUGGGGGCAACCCUGAUCUAGCCAUGCCGUGUGAGUGAUGAAGGCCUUAGGGUUGUAAAGCUCUUUCAGCUGGGAAGAUAAUGACGGUACCAGCAGAAGAAGCCCCGGCCAACUCCGUG